UGGACAACAGGUAGAGAUUCCUGUACCAGUGCUAAUUGUUUAACCGAUGGGGUGACACAGAAGGAUAGGGAAUCGCACGAAUGGAAAUGUGCGUCCAAGCAGUGAGUGUGAGAAGUAGGCAAAUCCGCUUCUCGCGAAGCAUGAGCUGUGAUGGGGAAGGAAAUUAAGUACGGAAGUUCCUGAUUUCACGCUGUCAAGAAAAGCCUCUAGGAAGAGUAGUACUGCCCGUACCGCAAACCGACACAGGUAGAUGAGGAGAGAAUCCUAAGGUGAGCGAGAGAACUCUCGUUAAGGAACUCGGCAAAAUGACCCCGUAACUUCGGGAGAAGGGGUGCUCUAUUAGGGUGCAAGCCCGAGAGAGCCGCAGUGAAUAGGCCCAGGCGACUGUUUAGCAAAAACACAGGUCUCUGCAAAACCGUAAGGUGACGUAUAGGGGCUGACGCCUGCCCGGUGCUGGAAGGUUAAGAGGAGUGCUUAGCUUCGGCGAAGGUACGAAUUGAAGCCCCAGUAAACGGCGGCCGUAACUAUAACGGUCCUAAGGUAGCGAAAUUCCUUGUCGGGUAAGUUCCGACCCGCACGAAAGGCGCAACGAUCUGGGCACUGUCUCAACGAGAGACUCGGUGAAAUUAUAGUACCUGUGAAGAUGCAGGUUACCCGCGACAGGACGGAAAGACCCCGUGGAGCUUUACUGCAACCUGAUAUGGAAUGUUUGUACCGCUUGUACAGGAUAGGUAGGAGCCGAAGAGACGUGUGCGCUAGCAUACGAGGAGGCAAUGGUGGGAUACUACCCUGGCUGUAUGACCAUUCUAACCCGCCACG
rnacentral:rRNA from 1 species